rnacentral:rRNA from 1 species
UACGAAGGGGGCUAGCGUUGUUCGGAAUUACUGGGCGUAAAGGGCGCGUAGGCGGCGUGUCAAGUCAGGCGUGAAAGCCCCGGGCUCAACCUGGGAACCGCGCUUGAGACUGGCAUGCUCGAGUUCGGGAGAGGAUGGUGGAAUUCCCAGUGUAGAGGUGAAAUUCGUAGAUAUUCGGAAGAACACCAGUGGCGAAGGCGACACACUGGCUCACUACUGACGCUGAGGCGCGAAAGCGUGGGGAGCAAACAGG